UAUCCGAUGAAGGACGUACAAAUCUGCGAUAAGCUUGGAGAAGUUGAUAAGAAACAUUAUUACUCCAAGAUUUCCGAAUGGGUGAACCUAAUUUCGGUAAUCGGAAUUAUCUCGCUUAAGCGAGAAGGACACAUUGUAAACUGAAAUAUCUAAGUAACAAUGGAAAAGAAAUCAAACGAGAUUCCCUUAGUAGCGACGAGCGAAACGGGAACAGCCCAAACCAUACAUACUGUAUAGGUAGCUUUUGGUAGUAUGGGGUAUGGAAAAACAUUAGGGGAGGCUAAUAAACCUAAUAUAAAAUAUUAUUAUUAAGAGAACAAGAUGGGAAGCUUGAUCAUAGAGGGUUAAAAUCCCGUAUCUUAAAAUAAUUUUAUUUUGUAUAUGUUAUCCAGAGUAGAAUCAGGCACGUGUAACCUGGUUUGAAUAUGGGGGGCCCACCCUCCAAGGCUAAAUAGCAUUCGAGAUCGAUAGCGAACUAGUACCGUGAGGGAAAGGUGAAAAGGACUGCGGUGAGCAGAGUGAAAUAGAACCUGAAACCUAUGGCUUACAAUCAUUUGGAGCGGUAUGCUU
rnacentral:rRNA from 1 species